ACUGGGAUAGCUCAGUUGGUAGAGCAUGAGACUCUUGACCUCAGGGUCGUUGGUUUGAUCCCCGUGUCGGGUA